AUUGAACGCUGGCGGCAUGCCUUACACAUGCAAGUCGAACGGCAGCACGGGAGCAAUCCUGGUGGCGAGUGGCGAACGGGUGAGUAAAGUAUCGGAACGUGCCCAGUCGUGGGGGAUAACGUAGCGAAAGUUACGCUAAUACCGCAUACGAUCUACGGAUGAAAGCGGGGGAUCGCAAGACCUCGCGCGAUUGGAGCGGCUGAUAUCAGAUUAGGUAGUUGGUGGGGUAAAGGCUCACCAAGCCGACGAUCUGUAGCUGGUCUGAGAGGACGACCAGCCACACUGGGACUGAGACACGGCCCAGACUCCUACGGGAGGAAGCAGUGGGGAAUUUUGGACAAUGGGCGCAAGCCUGAUCCAGCCAUGCCGCGUGCAGGAUGAAGGCCUUCGGGUUGUAAACUGCUUUUGUACGGAACGAAAAGGUUUGGCCUAAUAAGCUGGACCCAUGACGGUACCGUAAGAAUAAGCACCGGCUAACUACGUGCCAGCCGCCGCGGUAA
rnacentral:rRNA from 1 species